CGCGUAGGUGGUUGUGUAAGUCGGAUGUGAAAUCCCCAGGCUUAACCUGGGAACUGCAUCCGAUACUGCAUGACUCGAGUGCAGCAGAGGGAAACGGAAUUCCUGGUGUAGAGGUGAAAUUCGUAGAUAUCAGGAGGAACACCGGUGGCGAAGGCGGUUUCCUGGGCUGACACUGACACUGAGGCGCGAAAGCGUGGGUAGCAAACAGGAUUAGAUACCCUGGUAGUCCACGCUGUAAACGGUGAGUGCUGGGUGUGGGGGGUGUAAUGCCUUCUGUGCCGAAGCUAACGCGUUAAGCACUCCGCCUGGGGAGUACGGCCGCAAGGUUGAA
rnacentral:rRNA from 1 species